UACGGAGGGUGCGAGUGUUGUCCGGAAUCACUGGGCGUAAAGGGCGCGUAGGCGGCGCGGAUAGUCGGCGGUGAAAGCCCGGAGCUCAACUCCGGGUCGGCCGUCGAUACUUCCGGGCUUGAGCACUGUAGAGGCAGAUGGAAUUCCGGGUGUAGCGGUGGAAUGCGUAGAGAUCCGGAAGAACACCGGUGGCGAAGGCGGUCUGCUGGGCAGUUGGCUGACGCUGAUGCGCGACAGCGUGGGGAGCAA
rnacentral:rRNA from 1 species